rnacentral:rRNA from 1 species
UACGGGGGGGGCAAGCGUUGUUCGGAAUUACUGGGCGUAAAGGGCUCGUAGGCGGCCAACUAAGUCAGACGUGAAAUCCCUCGGCUUAACCGGGGAACUGCAUCUGAUACUGGAUGGCUUGAGUUCGGGAGAGGGAUGCGGAAUUCCAGGUGUAGCGGUGAAUGCGUAGAUAUCUGGAGGAACACCGGUGGCGAAGGCGGCAUCCCUGGACCGACACUGACGCUGAGGAGCGAAAGCCAGGGGAGCAAACGGG